UUUAUGUGUUUCAAUAUAGUUAAUUUAUUUAAAAUUUUAUUAUUGUUCCGGAGUGAGAGGCUAGGCCUUCUCCGUUUAUUUUCGGGAUGAUAGGCGUUGCCUUUCCCGACUGAUCGUUAUGGUAGGCUAUGCCUUCACGAUCAGAGAAACACGUGGUAGGCGUUGCCUCCGUGAAUAAAAAAAAUAAAAGUCAAAAAUGUCAGACUAAGUCUCCUCGGAUCUUGAAAUAAGUAAAAGUCAAAAUGGUAGACCAUGUAUCCUCGGACUUUGAAAAAUGAUCAAUAUGGUAGUCUAAAACUCCUCGGAUCAUGUGGUAGGCUAAGCCUCCAAUUUUAUUUAUGCUCUUUAAAUUUCUGCAAUUUAAAUUUAUGCCUUUAGUUUCUUCAUUUAAAUUAUGCAUUUCAAUUUCCGUCUUUAUAUAUAAUUAUUCUAUGAAUUCGGUUAUCAUAUCAAAUUUGACAAAGCUCAAAAUAAAUGCCCUUGAUAUUACGGGAAAUAGUUAUAUGACCUGGGCAGUGGGUGCAAAGAUGCACCUAAGAGAAAAUAAGCUUUGAGAAAUCAUCGAUAAGUUGAAACUAUAUCGGAUGAGAAAAAGAUAAAGCCAUGAUAAUUUACACCACUUUAAUGAUGGUUUAUAAGAUGAAGUGUAUCAUGAGAAAGAUCUAGAAGAUCUUUGAAUAAUCAAAUCCUUGAAAGAAAGGAUUCACCAAAUUGUUGGAGUUGAUGUAAAUCCUCUGUGAGAAUUGAAAAGAAAAGAAACUCAUGAUACUAAACCAUCAAGUCGGUCCUUCUUGAAAAGGAAAAGGGUGUGGAUGCGGUUGAAACCGCUAUCGUAGUCGUGGAAGAGGACGAGGAAGAAGAUUCCGUCCCUAUGAGAAUAAUGGAAACUUCCACGAAAAAUGAAAGUAGUCGGGUGAUAAAAGGCAAACAGAAAAGGUUUGCUAUAGAUACGGCUAGAAAGAAAAUUGGGUACGUAGCUUUCGUACGCCAAAUAUUUAGCCGAUCUAUAUCGAGAUUCAAAAAGAAAAAGAGAAAGGAAGUGAAAUAAACUUCAUCUCUUAUGAGCCCGGACCAUCUUUUCAUGGCUUGAAUACUCAUCUUGAUGAUUCAGAUUUUCUGGUUGGUCCAGAAAAUAAAAAUAAAAUAUCGAUGUGAUAUGAGAAUUAUCUUCAUGAAUAAGAUUUUGAGAGUCAGGAUGGAUAUACCUGACAGAUAUUGAGUCAUCGUACAUGACUACUAAAGGUAACAAAUAUCUUUCCUCUCUCAAAAUAAAUAAGUAUAGUAUCUAGUAAUAUAAAAAUUACUAUUGACUCUAGAAGAGCUUAUGAUGAAAAGACAUGCAUAAGAAAAAGAUGGCAAAAUUAUGAGUGGUAAACCUGAAGUUUACUGAUAUAUAUAGCCAUCUCCAAUAAUGUUAUCGACAUUACUGUGAAAUGUUGAAAAACCAGAAGUUUUUCAUAUAGCAUGUCUUAAAAGAAAAUAAAGGAAACCAUCAUGGGUGAUGAAUCAUCAAGCAAGUUCACUAGAUGUGAUUUCUUUAACCAGAUCCCAAAUUAGGAUCUCAAUCUAAAGGAUUUGAAACAUAAUUCAUCCCAAAUGGGAAAACUGGAUAUGUUAUUGGUUCUAGAGUGGGAUUCAGUACGAGAUUUUAGACAUGGAGUGUCAUCAUCUCGAGGGAGAGAAUUAAAGAAUCCUAGUGAGUGGAACAUUGAGAAAUUAUGUUCGCACUUGAAAAAGAACUUGAUAAAGUAAAUUCAAGUAAGAUGAUCCCCAUGAUCAGGUGUAAACAUGGACAACUGCAUGUAAUAACGACAUAUACAAUCCAAAGGGAUAAAGUAUAUGGAUAAUUAGAAAUAUGCUCGCAAUUUUGCUAGAAGCAUAUGAUAAGCUGAUAAAAUGAGAUAUGUGAAAUGGAUUACAAUGAAAAAUAGAAUAAUCCAUUUACAAAAUGCAUGCCAGACAUUUUGAUGAAAUAAUGAAAUCUUAUACUCCAGCUGAAAAUGCUCCAAUAAGAAAAUAGUGUCCUAAACGGACGAUAUAUGAGUCUAUGGCACGUUAGAGACGUGAUAGAUCACUUUGGUUCCAAAGAGUCCUCGAAAAGGAGAAAAAAUAUAAAUAGAGGAUGAAUCUCAUGAUGAGACCGUUGAUAUGGUUAAUAUAAUAGUCAUGUACCCGUGUAAAUCAUUGAUGAUGAUAAAGAGAUCUCGAUUAACCAUAUCAGUACAGGUAAAAAGAUGGAACCAAAUAGAAAAUAGAUUGUCAACAAUAAAUAAAAAAGCGCUAUAUAAAUUAUAAUUAUAAAUCUACCUCUAUGUAUGAGGGUAGAGUGAAUUUAUUAGCCAUCAAUUCGAUAUAAAACACGUUAGAAAAACGAGAAAUUUUUGGACCAAAAGUCCAAGGUAUAUAUUUUUCUAGAUAAUGAAAUGAAAGAUGACCUUGAGGUAUGAAAAACAGCUUGUUCCAAGGUCACUGGAGAAAAUUUAAAAUAGAUGCAAUAUAUUGAUAUGUCUGGCAGGACAAAAAUGACUUGAGUUGCAUCUUGAUAUUUAGAAGUCCCUGGAGAGUUAAAGAUGCUCUCGGGAAUGUUUAAACUCUGGAAAAGUUAGAACAAGCCGUAUAUAAGGUAUCUUGAACCAGUAACUGGUGAUAUAUUUACGACACAGUUUGCCGAUUGCCAUUUGAUGAGGAUGAGUUUCUAGCGUUAGGGGGAGGAAUUAGAAAAAAAUCCCUAAGAGAUUACAUGGUGAACAUAGUCGUUAUUACACCUUGACUCCCCAAUGAAUUAAUGAGAGCUGUAAAUUCAGAAAAUUGUGCAUUUGCAUAAUUUGGUAAACCAGUUACCAAAUGUGUUCACAGAUACGACAUGAUAUACCCGCUGAAAAUGUUCCAUCAAGAGUUGAUGUUCCUAAAGAACAAACUGAUGCUAACAAAAUGAAUGAGCCUAGGGUUCAGUUAAAGAGGGGGAGACUAGCGGGUUCUAAAGAUAAAAAAUCCCCGAAAAAAGUUUUUGAGCAAAGCAGAAAGGUUCGGAAAGAACCUAAUAUUGAAAGAUGUCUGAAAGAAGACAUAAGUGGAAAGGUUCCAGAAGAACCUGAUACUGAAAAUGUCUGAAAGAAGAUAUAGAUGAAAAGGUUCAAGAAGAACCAAAUAAAGAUAUGGAUCCAGAUGACGAGAAGUGAACAGAAAAGUAUGAGAUUUCCAUCAACUACGCACUUGAUGAAAAGUAAUAGAUAAAAGAUGUUGAUGGAAUGUUCUCUUUUUCUGUGUCCAAAGAUAUCGAUCAUGAAAAUGAUGAUCCCGAUCCAAGGUCCAUUUAGGAAUGUUAAAAGACAUGAUUGGGAGGAGUGGCAGAAGGCCAAUCGAAUUGAAUUAUUCUCCCUAAAUAAAAGGAAUGUCUUUGGACCUAUAGUCAUAACGCCUGAGAAUAUAAAUCUUGUUGGGUAUAAGUGGGUAUUCGUGAGAAAAGUAACACGAUAUAAAAUCUGAUUAGUUGCCCAAGGUUUUUCUCAGAGACCGGAAAUUGAUUUUGAGGAAACGUAUUUCCCGGUAAUGGAUGCAAUUACUUUUAGAUUUUGAUGAGCCUAACGGCGUCUAAAAAUCUUAAAAUGCAUCUCAUGGACGUUGUGACUGCGUAUUUGUAUGGAUUGUAGGAUAACGAUAUAUAUAUAUAUAGCAUUGAAAGAAAAAUCCACGGAGAUUUGUUCGGUCAGUUACAGCGAUCACUAUAUGGAUUAUAAAGAAAUCGUCAUCUGGCUUUGUGAUCAUUGAUGUAUAUGUAGAUGACCUGGACAUAAUUGGAACUCAAAAGGAGGUUGAUGAUGCUCGAACUCAUAUGAAAGAGGAGUUCGAAAUGAAAGAUCUCGGCAAGACAAAAUUUUGUCUUGGGCUCCAGACAGAGCAUAUCUGAGAAGGAAUAUUUGUGCAUCAAUCAAAUCAUACGAAAAGGUUAUUGAAACGCUUUUGUAUGAAUAAAGCGACUCAUUUGAGUACUCCAAUGGUAAAUAGAUCUCUCGAUGUUGAAAAGAUGUUUAAAAGAUCCUGGUAAGAUCUUAUAUAAAUAAGUACUUUGGAGAUGCUAAUAGUAAUAAAGCAUAUAUGAGCUUAUAUAUAUCUUGCGAGUUGUGUUUGAUUAAAUAUACUUUUAGACACUAAUGUCUUUGCGAGAUAUAGCUCAUUUCCUAUUUAUGGAAAUUAGAACGGCGUCGAGAACAUAUCCGUUCUCUCCAAGGUACGUAUUGAUUUAGGAUUGAUUUAUCCUAGAAACCCCGAGUUUGGUAUGGUUUUGCAGAUAAUACAUGAUAUUUAUAAAGUCGAACACAAACCGGAUAUGGUUUUACAAUUGGUGGAACCGCGAUCUCUUGGCGGUCCCAGAAACAAACUCUGGUUGCGACAUCUUUGAAUCAUACAUAAACUAUUGCGCUUCACGAAGCAUGUCGAGAAUGUAUGUGGCUUCGGUCAAUGAGUCACCACAUACAAGAAUCAAACGGAAUAGUUAACGAGAAAGAGCCGAGGAAUAUAUUUGAAGAUAAUUCGGCUUGUGUCGCUCAACUCAAAGAAGGCUACAUUAAGAGUGACAGAACAAAGCACAUCCCUCCAAGAUUUUUCUCGUACAUAAGAGAGCUCGAGAAAAAUAAAGAAGUGGACAUCGAGUAUGUACGGUCAUGCGACAAUCAGGCUGAGUUGCUCACAAAGGCUCUUCCCACUACAACAUUUCUGAAACACGUCUAUGGUAUCAGAAUGCGGUAUUUGCGUGACCUGUGACGAGAAAGCUAGGUCCACUAUUCUCAGGGGGAGAUUACGGCAGUGUACUCUUUUUUCCUUGUCAUAGUUUUUAUCCCAAUGGAUUUUUUCAUGACUAGGGUUUUAACGAGGCACUGCGUAAUACAAAAUGGAUAAUCAAGUGGGAGUGUUGAAGAUAAUAUCAAAUAUAUAGUGAUUAUCCAUUAAAGUUUUGUCUUUUUAUAGACACUAAAUAUCUCUCCAUUUUAUAUAAUUAUUGUAGAAAUAUCUGGUCAUUAACCGACCUUCUCUACUCCUAUAAAUAGGAGUUGUAUCAAAGCUCAAUAAUAAUAAUCAUCUCACGUACCCUCUAAUAACUCCUUCUCUCUUUAAGUUAUCUCAAAAACAAGCAAAUCAUAUAUAUAUAUAUAUAUAUAUAUAUAUAUAUAUAUAUUAACAAUAAAUAAAUCUCUGAUAUAUAAACACUCACCUAUUAUUAUUCAACAUUUAUCAAUAUAUGAUCAUUUUUAUGAAGAAUCAUAUUGUUUUUUGUAAUAGUUACUUUUAUUUAUUGAAUAUAAAGUAUAAAAUAAAUAUUAAAUUAACUCUUAAGGCUAUUUAUUUCUGAAAUAUUUGUAACCUCUUCCAUUGAUUGUUGUUCCAUCUACAAAUUUUCCAUGUAAGUUUUAUUUUCAUUUUUUUUUUUGUGAUUGUGUAAUCUGUUUUAAGAAUUUAUAAAAAAAAUGACGAUAAAAAUUUCCUAAAAUUUAAACAAACAUAAAACUAUUAUGAAUUAGGUUCUAGUUCUGAUUUUUUUUAGAAAUAUCAUAACUUUUUACAAGUUGAACGGAUGAUUGCUAUCUACAAAGGAUUUUUUACCGUAUAUUGUUAGUACUUCCAACCUUAGUUGAUGUAUUUAAAAACAGAAGCUCAUAGAAAAUUAGUUUGUCCGAGUAUGUACACAAUAAAAUGAGUUAUCAAUGAUAUCACGAGAAUAUUAAAGGGCUACAAUGAUAUUUUGCAUGGUUCUAAUUGCAUAUCAAAAAUGCAAAAAGAUAUAACUGGGGGCAGAUUUUUUUAUGCGCUUUAGGCGCCAUUCCGAUCCGGACCGGCACUGUGUGAAACAAACUUCUUUUUUGUAACUUGAGAUUCACCACGCAAGAUCAAAGGUUUGAGAUAGUGAGCUUUACAUCGCAAUAGUGGUAAGACCAAGUUACCUUAUGAUCAAACGGUUAGUUAACAACUCGAUUUCCAUGAAACAAGGCAUGACACGUAAACUUGAGAUGCACGAGUACAUCUGGAUCGAGUUGAACAAUGUAAAAGACAAGACAAGCUCAUCAUUUGAGAAACAACAUUACGAA